rnacentral:tRNA from 1 species
GAGGGUAUACCUCAGUGGUGGAGUGCAUGCUUAUCAUGCACAAGGUCCUGGGUUCAAUCCCCGGUAUCUCCA